GAUAAACGCUGGCGGCGUGCCUAACACAUGCAAGUCGAACGAAGUGGCGAACGGGUGAGUAACCCGUCAGUAACCUGCCUUACACAAGGGGAUAGCCUUUGGAAACGCAGAAUAAUACCCUAUAGUGUAAGAUGUAAUUGCGUCUGAUUAGCUAGUUGGUGGGAUAACAGCCCACCAAGGCGACGAUCAGUAGCCGGCUUGGGAGAGUGUACCGCCACAUUGGGAGUGAGACACGGCCCAAACUCUGCGAGAGGACGCAGUGGGGAAUGUUGCACAAUGGGGGAAACACGGAGGCAGCGAGGCCGCGUGAUUUAGAAGGCAUGCGGGUUGUAAAAAUCUAUUUUAUGGGAGGCGGUACCAUAAGAGUAAGGUCCGGCUAAAUACGUGCCAGCAGCCGCGGUAAUUC
rnacentral:rRNA from 1 species